rnacentral:rRNA from 1 species
CUAGCGGCAGGCUUAACACAUGCAAGUCGUGGGGCAGCGCGGACUUCGGUCUGGCGGCGACCGGCAAACGGGUGCGGAACACGUACGCAACCUCCCUCAGAGCGGGGAAUAGCCUCUCGAAAGAGAGAUUAAUACCCCAUAGUAUCUUGAAGACACAUGUCUAUGAGAUUAAAGCUUCGGCACUUUGAGAUGGGCGUGCGGCUGAUUAGGUAGUUGGUAGGGUAACGGCCUACCAAGCCGACGAUCAGUAGCUGAUGUGAGAGCAUGAUCAGCCACACGGGCACUGAGACACGGGCCCGACUCCUACGGGAGGCAGCAGUGAGGAAUAUUGGUCAAUGGAGGAAACUCUGAACCAGCCAUGCCGCGUGGAGGAUGAAGGUCCUCUGGAUUGUAAACUCCUUUUAUAAAAGAAGAAACCCCAUUUUUCUAAAUGGGUUGACGGUACUUUAUGAAUAAGCACCGGCUAACUCCGUGCCAGCAGCCGCGGUAAUACGGAGGGUGCAAGCGUUAUCCGGA